rnacentral:rRNA from 1 species
UACGUAGGGGGCGAGCGUUGUCCGGAAUCAUUGGGCGUAAAGCGCGUGUAGGCGGCCCGGUAAGUCCGCUGUGAAAGUCCAGGGCUCAACCCUGGGAUGCCGGUGGAUACUGUCGGGCUCGAGUCCGGAAGAGGCGAGUGGAAUUCCUGGUGUAGCGGUGAAAUGCGCAGAUAUCCGGAAGAACACCGGUGGCGAAGGCGGCCUGCUGGGCAGUGGCUGACACUGAGGCGCGACAGCGUGGGGAGCAAACAGG